UGGGGAAUAUUGGACAAUGGGCGCAAGCCUGAUCCAGCCAUACCGCGUGGGUGAAGAAGGCCUUCGGGUUGUAAAGCCCUUUUGUUGGGAAAGAAAAGCAUUCGGUUAAUACCCGAUUGUUCUGACGGUACCCAAAGAAUAAGCACCGGCUAACUUCGUGCCAGCAGCCGCGGUAAUACGAAGGGUGCAAGCGUUACUCGGAAUUACUGGGCGUAAAGCGUGCGUAGGUGGUUGUUUAAGUCUGUCGUGAAAGCCCUGGGCUCAACCUGGGAAUUGCGAUGGAAACUGGGCGACUAGAGUGUGGCAGAGGGUAGUGGAAUUCCUGGUGUAGCAGUGAAAUGCGUAGAGAUCAGGAGGAACAUCCGUGGCGAAGGCGACUGCCUGGGCCAACACUGACACUGAGGCACGAAAGCGUGGGGGAGCAAACAGGAUUAGAUACCCUGGUAGUCCACGCCCUAAACGAUGCGAACUGGAUGUUGGGUGCAAUUUGGCACGCAGUAUCGAAGCUAACGCGUUAAGUUCGCCGCCUGGGGAGUACGGUCGCAAGACUGAAACUCAAAUGAAUUGAC
rnacentral:rRNA from 1 species